UCAAGAAGAAGCCAGCAGCUUUGGCCAUAGCCAUGGAUGAGAUUCAGCGCCGAACGCCAACAGGAGCCUCAACUCAUCUCCCAUUGCCUGUGUGGAAAGGUGAGCCCCAGGCCCCGACAGGC